rnacentral:misc_RNA from 1 species
UCCGGCCAAAAGCCGGCAGUCUCGCCAGACACGUAUAACUGGCGACGAGGGUUGCGCUCGUUGCGGGACUUAACCCAACAUCUCACGACACGAGCUGACGACAACCAUGCAGCACCUGUGCAUCACCCUCGAAGGCGACCGCCUUUCAGCGGCUUGCAGAUGCAUGUCAAACCUGGGUAAGGUUCUUCGCGUUGCGUCGAAUUAAACCACACGCUCCGCUGCUUGUGCGGGCCCCCGUCAAUUCCUUUGAGUUUUAAGCUUGCGCUCGUACUCCCCAGGCGGCCGGCUUACCGCGUGAGCUGAGGCACCCAGGACCCUGAACGGGUCCCAGACACCGAGCCGGCAUCGUUUACGGCGUGGACUAC